rnacentral:rRNA from 1 species
CCUACGGGUGGCUGCAGUGGGGAAUAUCGCACAAUGGGCGCAAGCCUGAUGCAGCCAUGCCGCGUGUGUGAAGAAGGCCUUCGGGUUGUAAAGCACUUUCAGCGGGGAGGAAGGCGUUAAGGUUAAUAACCUUGUCGAUUGACGUUACCCGCAGAAGAAGCACCGGCUAACUCCGUGCCAGCAGCCGCGGUAAUACGGAGGGUGCAAGCGUUAAUCGGAAUUACUGGGCGUAAAGCGCGCGCAGGCGGUCUGUCAAGUCGGAUGUGAAAUCCCCGGGCUCAACCUGGGAACUGCAUUCGAAACUGGCAGGCUAGAGUCUUGUAGAGGGGGGUAGAAUUCCAGGUGUAGCGGUGAAAUGCGUAGAGAUCAGGAGGAAUACCGGUGGCAAAGGCGGCCCCCUGGACAAAGACUGACGCUCAGGUGCGAAAGCGUGGGGAGCAAACAGGAUUAGAUACCCUAGUAGUC